GUGAACGCUGGCGGUAGGCCUCACCCCUGCAAGUCGAACGGCAGCACAGUAAGAGCUUGCUCUUACGGGUGGCGAGUGGCGGACGGGUGAGGAAUACAUCGGAAUCUACUUUUUCGUGGGGGAUAACGUAGGGAAACUUACGCUAAUACCGCAUACGACCUACGGGUGGAAGCCGGGGAUCUUCGGACCUUGCGCGAUUGAAUGAGCCGAUGUCGGAUUAGCUAGUUGGCGGGGUAAAGGCCCACCAAGGCGACGAUCCGUAGCUGGUCUGAGAGGAUGAUCAGCCACACUGGAACUGAGACACGGUCCAGACUCCUACGGGAGGCAGCAGUGGGGAAUAUUGGACAAUGGGCGCAAGCCUGAUCCAGCCAUACCGCGUGGGUGAAGAAGGCCUUCGGGUUGUAAAGCCCUUUUGUUGGGAAAGAAAAGCAGCAGGUUAAUACCCCGCUGUUCUGACGGUACCCAAAGAAUAAGCACCGGCUAACUUCGUG
rnacentral:rRNA from 1 species